UACAGAGGUCUCGAGCGUUGCUCGGAUUCAUUGGGCGUAAAGGGUGCGUAGGUGGCAGGGUAAGUCGGAUGUGAAAUCCCGGAGCUUAACUCCGGAACUGCAUUCGAUACUGCCUUGCUGGAGUACUGGAGAGGAGAUCGGAAUUUACGGUGUAGCAGUGAAAUGCGUAGAUAUCGUAAGGAAGACCAGUGGCGAAGGCGGAUCUCUGGACAGUUACUGACACUGAGGUGCGAAAGCGUGGGGAGCAAACAGG
rnacentral:rRNA from 1 species